rnacentral:rRNA from 1 species
UACGUAGGGUGCAAGCGUUGUCCGGAAUUAUUGGGCGUAAAGAGCUCGUAGGCGGUUUGUUGCGUCGGCUGUGAAAACCCGCAGCUCAACUGUGGGCUUGCAGCCGAUACGGGCGGGCUAGGAUUCGGUAGGGGAGACUGGAAUUCCUGGUGUAGCGGUGAAAUGCGCAGAUAUCAGGAGGAACACCGAUGGCGAAGGCAGGUCUCUGGGCAUUAACUGACGCUGAGGAGCGAAAGCAUGGGGAGCGAACAGG